AGGAACUUGGGAUCUGGGGAACGGCAUGAGGAGAAACCUCAGAUGGGCUCCCUGUGCCAGAGUAGCUUGUCAUCUCCGUGCUAAUCUUCCCAGCUCCUGCCUCGGCCUCUGGACCAGCAGCACUGCUUUCUUAUGUUUCCAACAGCAAUCAAACUUGACGUUUCUCCCCUACAUUGUGCUGCAUUUCAGCCUGUAUUUCCAAACGUUUGAUCCAAAAUUCAUUUGAGUCAAUGGAAGGAAUCUCAUUGCCUUGAAUGCACUUCGGAUCUGGCAGCUUAUUGCACCUGAGCAUGAACACCUGAUAUAUAUUUCCUAAAUCAGUAUUAGUGAAGAUACAGACUAGUACCAUUUUCACCACAGUGAAGAACCCUCACAGAGAAAAAUAUCACUAAAUCACUGUUUUAAAGAGAAGGCCACAACAUUUCUGCCAUUGCUCUAAACACACUGGAAUGCCUAACAGUAACAGUCAAGUCAUAACAAUAAAUGCCUGCACCCAUCUACAAGCAGAAUCCUUCAGAGAGUGGAUCAGUGCAGAAGGAGCAGUGAACACCAGCUCGCUCCCUCUCCAAUAUGAAGAACAAACUGAAGAAGUCUACAAAGUUGGACACAUAGCCCUUUGGCCUGCAGGAUACCAGAGAACCCUCUGCAGUAUCAAGCAACAGAUCAUCUUACCUGCUGCCAGCAAAAAGACCUUCCUUACUGCUGUGGAAAGGGGACUUGCCUGUCUCUGAGGUAGAUCUCACAUCCUACUAUUCCUAUGGAAGAAAU